rnacentral:rRNA from 1 species
UAGGGAAUAUUAGUAAUGGGCGAAAGCCUGAACUAGCAACGCCGCGUGUGCGAAGAAGGCCUUCGGGUUGUAAAGCACUUUUGAGAGGAUGAGGAAGGACGGUACUCUCAGAAUAAGUCUCGGCUAACUACGUGCCAGCAGCCGCGGUAACAAGUAGGAGGCGAACGUUAUUCGGAUUUACUGGGCGUAAAGCGCGUGUAGGUGGUUUGGUAAGUAGGGCGUGAAAGCUCCUGGCUCAACUGGGAGAGGCCGUUCUAAACUGCCGAACUAGAGGAUGGUAGAGGGAGGUGGAAUUCCGGGUGUAGCGGUGGAAUGCGCAGAUAUCCGGAGGAACACCAGUGGCGAAAGCGGCCUCCUGGACCAUUCCUGACACUCAGACGCGAAAGCUAGGGUAGCAAACGG